rnacentral:rRNA from 1 species
CAGUCGCCGCGGUAAUACGUAGGUGGCAAGCGUUGUCCGGAAUUAUUGGGCGUAAAGGGCUCGCAGGCGGUUUCUUAAGUCUGAUGUGAAAGCCCCCGGCUCAACCGGGGAGGGUCAUUGGAAACUGGGAAACUUGAGUGCAGAAGAGGAGAGUGGAAUUCCACGUGUAGCGGUGAAAUGCGUAGAGAUGUGGAGGAACACCAGUGGCGAAGGCGACUCUCUGGUCUGUAACUGACGCUGAGGAGCGAAAGCGUGGGGAGCGAACAGGAUUAGAGACCCCGGUAGUCCCUGUCUCUUAUAC